CUGGGGGUCGGCACCAUGGCCUGGAUGCCACUCUCCCUCCUCAGCCUCCUCCUUCACUGCACAGGUUCCCUCUCGCAGCCUGUGCUGACUCAGCCGUCCUCCAUCUCUGCAUCUCCAGGAGCAUCAGCCAGACUCACCUGCACCCUCAGCAGCGGCUCUGUUGUUGAGGGCUACCAUAUAUACUGGUACCAGCAGAAGCCAGGGAGCCCUCCGCGGUUUCUCCUGAGAUUUAAAUCAGACUCAGACAAGCACCAGGGCUCCGGGGUCCCCCACCGCUUCUCUGGAUCCAAAGACGCCUCGGCCAACGCCGGGCUCCUGCUCAUCUCUGGGCUGGAGCCUGAGGACGAGGCCGAUUAUUACUGUGCUACAUGGCACGGCAACAGUAAUACUUACACAGUGCUGCAGAGUCGUGGGGAAGUGAGACUAAAACCCCCCUGUGCUCUGUCUGCCUGGGACUGUCACCCCUGA